GACGCUAGCGGCAGCUUAACACAUGCAAGUCGAACGGUAACUCUUGGUGCUUGCACCAAAAGACGAGUGGCGGACGGGUGCGUAACGCGUAUGCAAUCUACCUUUUACUAGGGUAUAGCCCAGAGAAAUUUGGAUUAAUCCCCUAUAAUAUCAUGAAAUCGCAUGAUUUUAUGAUUAAAGCUUCGGUGGUAAAAGAUGAGCAUGCGUCCUAUUAGUUUGUAGGUGAGGUAACGGCUCACCUAGACUACGAUAGGUAGGGGCCCUGAGAGGGGGAUCCCCCACACUGGUACUGAGACACGGACCAGACUCCUACGGGAGGCAGCAGUGAGGAAUAUUGGACAAUGGACGAAAGUCUGAUCCAGCUAUGCCGCGUGCAGGAUGACAGCCCUACGGGUUGUAAACUGCUUUUAUACAGGAAGAAAAACUCCGACGUGUCGGGGCUUGACGGUACUGUAAGAAUAAGGAUCGGCUAACUCCGUGCCAGCAGCCGCGGUAAUACGGAGGAUCCAAGCGUUAUCCGGAAUUAUUGGGUUUAAAGGGUCCGCAGGCGGUUUUUUAAGUCAGAGGUGAAAUCCUACAGCUCAACUGUAGAAUUGCCUUUGAAACUGAAAGACUUGAGUUAUUGUGAAGUGGUUAGAAUGUGUGGUGUAGCGGUGAAAUGCAUAGAUAUCACACAGAAUACCAAUUGCGAAGGCAGAUCACUAACAAUUAACUGACGCUCAGGGACGAAAGCGUGGGUAGCGAACAGGAUUAGAUACCCUGGUAGUCCACGCCGUAAACGAUGGAUACUAGCUGUAUGUCUACCUCAGGUAGAUGUGUGGCCAAGCGAAAGUGAUAAGUAUCCCACCUGGGGAGUACGA
rnacentral:rRNA from 1 species